UGACCGUUAACGAUCGGCUCGUGCUCAGGGAGUUUUGGCGGGAAGCGCGUGUCGUGUUUGCUCUCCUCAGCUCAGGAGAGAGAAGUCGAAGCAGAAUAACGCAGGUGGCUUCUUCACUGAAACUUCUGUGUACUGACACCUCAAUUGUUGAGGGAUACCCUUGAGGUGACUGCAGCUCCAUUUCCGGAAAAUGAGUAAAGAUAGAUGCAAGACAGUGCAGAAACCUGUGAGUGGAGAAAUAAAUCAUGCAUUAAACAAUCGGAAAAGGUUUCUGACACAGAGCUAGGACUGCCAGCUUCUGAAGUGAAACAUUUGGAGUCAAUGCUCAAUCCCAGGCAUUUCCAUCCACAACCUCUUUUCAAUGUCAGAAUGUAGCUCAUGGGCAAGUAAAAAGUGCUAUUGAGCAGGGUCAGAGUGCACAGACUUUCCUGAUCAAGGAAUGUGACUACCAAGCAAGCAUCAGCUCCAUCACCACCCUUGAGAAAUAAGUUACUCUUGAAAAAAUGAGACACAGCUACUGAGCAUGAUGCCAACACAGCAAAGGUCAAGGAUCUGUGCUCCAAAAGAACAACAGAGACAUAAAAAUGCACUUGUGUGUAGUUAUAGCCUGUUUGCACUACC